rnacentral:rRNA from 1 species
AUUCUUCGGAUGAUCGAUCGGUGACUGAGUGGCGGACGGGUGAGUAACGCGUGGGUAACCUGCCCUGUACAGGGGGAUAACAGCUGGAAACGGCUGCUAAUACCGCAUAAGCGCACGAGGAGACAUCUCCUUGUGUGAAAAACUCCGGUGGUACAGGAUGGGCCCGCGUCUGAUUAGCUGGUUGGCAGGGUAACGGCCUACCAAGGCAACGAUCAGUAGCCGGUCUGAGAGGAUGAACGGCCACAUUGGAACUGAGACACGGUCCAAACUCCUACGGGAGGCAGCAGUGGGGAAUAUUGCACAAUGGGGGAAACCCUGAUGCAGCAACGCCGCGUGAGUGAAGAAGUAUUUCGGUAUGUAAAGCUCUAUCAGCAGGGAAGAUAAUGACGGUACCUGACUAAGAAGCUCCGGCUAAAUACGUGCCAGCAGCCGCGGUAAUACGUAUGGAGCAAGCGUUAUCCGGAUUUACUGGGUGUAAAGGGUGCGUAGGUGGCAGUGCAAGUCAGAUGUGAAAGGUCGGGGCUCAACCCCGGAGCUGCAUUUGAAACUGCUCGGCUAGAGUACAGGAGAGGCAGGCGGAAUUCCUAGUGUAGCGGUGAAAUGCGUAGAUAUUAGGAGGAACACCAGUGGCGAAGGCGGCCUGCUGGACUGUUACUGACACUGAGGCACGAAAGCGU